GCCGCGGUGCUGGAAUUGGUAGACAGGACGGACUUAAAAUCCGUUGUCAGUAAUGAUGUGUGGGUUCAAGUCCCACCCGCGGCA
rnacentral:tRNA from 1 species